AUUGAACGCUGGCGGCAUGCCUAACACAUGCAAGUCGAACGAAGCCUUCGGGCUUAGUGGCGCACGGGUGCGUAACGCGUGGGAAUCUGCCCUUGGGUUCGGAAUAACAGUUAGAAAUGACUGCUAAUACCGAAUGAUGUCUUCGGACCAAAGAUUUAUCGCCCAAGGAUGAGCCCGCGUCGGAUUAGCUAGUUGGUGAGGUAAAGGCUCACCAAGGCGACGAUCCGUAGCUGGUCUGAGAGGAUGAUCAGCCACACUGGGACUGAGACACGGCCCAGACUCCUACGGGAGGCAGCAGUGGGGAAUAUUGGACAAUGGGCGAAAGCCUGAUCCAGCAAUGCCGCGUGAGUGAUGAAGGCCUUAGGGUUGUAAAGCUCUUUUGCCAGGGAAGAUGAUGACUGUACCUGGAGAAUAAGCCCCGGCUAACUUCGUGCCAGCAGCCGCGGUAAU
rnacentral:rRNA from 1 species